rnacentral:rRNA from 1 species
GAUUUCUGGUACGGCGCACUUGGCCCGCUUCGGUUACGGAGUUGAGUGCCGGUGUGCGCCUGCCAUCCUUCUGGGGUACGACUCUCCCUUCAUUGGGUUGGGCCGGAAUCCAGAUCAUUUACUUUGAAAAAAUUAGAGUGUUUAAAGCAGGCUUACGCUAUGAAUACAUUAGCAUGGAAUAAUAAUUUAGGACUUUGGUCUUACUUUGUUGGUUUCUAGGACUAAAGUAAUGAUUGAUAGGGACAGUUGGGGGUGCUAGUAUUCAGCGGCCAGAGGUGAAAUUCUUGGAUUCGCUGAAGACUAACUUAUGCGAAAGCAUU